rnacentral:rRNA from 1 species
GGGUUGUGAGGUUAAGCGACUAAGCGUACACGGUGGAUGCCCUGGCAGUCAGAGGCGAUGAAGGACGUGCUAAUCUGCGAUAAGCGCCGGUAAGGUGAUAUGAACCGUUAUAACCGGCGAUUUCCGAAUGGGGAAACCCAGUGUGACUCGUCACACUAUCAUUAACUGAAUCCAUAGGUUAAUGAGGCGAACCGGGGGAACUGAAACAUCUAAGUACCCCGAGGAAAAGAAAUCAACCGAGAUUCCCCCAGUAGCGGCGAGCGAACGGGGAGGAGCCCAGAGCCUGAAUCAGCAUGUGUGUUAGUGGAAGCGUCUGGAAAGGCGCGCGAUACAGGGUGACAGCCCCGUACACAAAAGCGCAUGUGCUGUGAGCUCGAUGAGUAGGGCGGGACACGUGGUAUCCUGUCUGAAUAUGGGGGGACCAUCCUCCAAGGCUAAAUACUCCUGACUGACCGAUAGUGAACCAGUACCGUGAGGGAAAGGCGAAAAGAACCCCGGCGAGGGGAGUGAAAAAGAACCUGAAACCGUGUACGUACAAGCAGUGGGAGCCCCACCACUAAGCCAGUGGUGAACUCCACAUACGCAUCCUUUGCUGAGGAUACGGUUAACGGAGCGAAAGCGACGUUCAACCGCAAAAGAAGCAGAGGGGGCUUAGUGGUGGGGUGACUGCGUACCUUUUGUAUAAUGGGUCAGCGACUUAUAUUCUGUAGCAAGGUUAACCGAAUAGGGGAGCCGUAGGGAAACCGAGUCUUAACCGGGCGUUAAGUU